GGCAUUUCUCUGGGUAUUAUGUAUCCGAGCUCGCAACAAUGACGAGAUCGUGAGUCAAGAACAGAAACGCCCUCAUGGGAAUAAGAAAAGCUCGCAAGUCAGAAGCUUAACCAGACUCCGAGCUCUCAACCCGGAUCAGGCCGACUAGCAAGGUCUCAGUAGAGCCGGCCUGGACCAUCAAUUGAGUAAAAUUGACAAAGCC
rnacentral:lncRNA from 1 species